AUACUUUGACAAAAAAUUCACAAGGGCCAACUAUUCCCUCGUUAGGAUAUCUUUCAUUACUUAAGGUUUAAAAAAAAUCAGUGUCACUAAAGAGACUUGAAAAAAAAAGAGUCAUCGAGUGAACUCACUCUCGAAACCUAAAACACAACCGUGAUUCUCUUUUUCCAUUCUAGUUUCCUCUUUAAUUUUCUGCGACAAGUGAGUCACCACAUAACAACGAGAUUGACAAGAGGAGAAUGACCGGAGUUGUGAACGGAUCUAAUUUCAGUUGGGUCGGAUCGAGGAAGAAUCCUGACGACUCUCCACCAUUCGCGAGAAGCGAACCCACGGCAAAGCUUCUCUUCCUCGGUAGUGGAGACGGAGAAGACAGAGAAAGAGGACGACGGCGGUUACAACGACGACGCGAUUUAGCUCCGCCGAGAUGAAACCGACCCAGUUCUAGCUCUGUCUUUACCUCUCCUUUGUUCUCUACUAGGGUAGUGAAGUCUGAGAUCACAGUUUUGACUAAAAUGUGUGAUGAUAUGAGAGCUAAAGUCUCUGACUUACCUGUUAAAGCCUCAUGUUGGAGAAGAAAUUGAGUUAAACAAGGUGGAGGAGGCUGAAGAAGCUUGAUGGUGGUGGUCUCGCCACUGAUGCCUUAUCACAAGAAGCAUGGCUUGAGACGAGAAGACAAAGGGUUGGUGAUUUAAUAUUUAAGUGAUUUGUGUAAGACUUGAAAAAAGAUUUUAUGUAAAAACAUAUGUUUUAUAAAUUUACUGAAUAUAAUUUUGAGCUCAGUUCAUGGAAUUGGAUCAAACCAAGGUUAAAAGUGUUGAACUUUUGUUCAAGGCAAGUGUGAAAUGAAGAAGUAAACAAAAUGUUAAAACCAAAUAUAAUUUUGUAAAUUAAUAUUGGAACCGGUUUGUUAAAAUAUUAACACAUUCAGAUUUGUUAAAAUACUUUUUGUUUAUUUGUAUUUUUUUAUUCAAAAAAACCCUAAACAUUUUUUUAAACCCUAAACAUUUUUUUAAACCCUAAACAUAUGCUUUAGACUUCAAUAUUUUCAUAAUAUAAUUUCAGUAUUAAACUUAAACUAAAAAAUUCAUUAUUUCAAAAAAAUAUUAUAUCAAAUUGAAAAUCUAAAUAUUAAAAAUUAAAUCUUAAAUCUGCAUCUUAAUCCUAAUACGCUUAACCCUAAACUUAAACCGACAUAUAAAAUCAUGAAUAUAAGAUUUUCAAAUUUAUAAUAUUAAUUUUAAAUUUAAAUCCAAGUUUAUCCAAUACUUAAUCAUAUACUUCAUUCUAAAUCUUAACCCUAAACCAUAAACCAAAUACCUCAUACUAACAUAUAUCAUAAUACACUAAACUUAAUUUUACAUAAAUUAUAUUCCUUUUUUUUGUCAAAACAUAAAUUGUAUUUCUAUAAGAAAAAUAUACUACUCCGAACUAAUAAAUUUAAAAUUAUACAUUUACAAAAUAAAAUUAAGCCACCAAAUAAUAACCCAAGAAAUACAAUCUAGUCUUUUUAAUCAAACCCUAAACCCUAUAUAUAUCAUACUCCAACCAAAUACCUGAACAAUUAUAAUAUUAAUUAAUAGAUUUUUGAAAUUUAAGUGUAGAAUAUUGGUUAUAAAAUCUCAAUUUUAUUCAAACAUCAAUUUUUAAAAUUAUAAACUAAAAGUCAUCAAAAUAUUGAAAGUAGAACACCAAAAGAUAAAAAUAAAAAGGAAAAAAUGGGUAACUAAUAUAAUAAGAAAGAAAAUUACUGGCCAAUCCGCUCUCAUCACACGGAUCACCCUCUGAGCCGUAAUACAAAUAAAUCAGCGGAUGAGAUUGUUUUAUUUUUUAUUUCCUUUUCUUUUCUUUAUUCUCUCUCUCUCUCUCGCCUCUAUCUCCUUCUUAUUUUCACAGAUCUCUUUUUUUCAGAUCUCUUCAUCUUCUUCUACAAUCUCUUUUAAUUUGACAGACCUCUUUUAGUUUUUCAUCUCACAGACAUCUAUCUGUCUCACUCUCCUAAUCUCUCUAUCUCACACACGACACAUCUCCAACCAUCUUCUUUAGAAAGGCGGAUGAGGCAUCAAAGCGACGGUGGAGGCGCGGCAGACUCGUCACUUGUCAAAGCACUGCGUUGGCUUCACCUCCUCUCCACCACCACAGAUUUAUUAAGGAGCAGGGAAAGAGAGGCAUUGGUGUGAGGCACGGCAGACUCGUCUCCGGUCAAGCGUGGUGCAGCGGUGGUGCAAGCCGGUGGUGGUCGUGCGGUGGCGUUGCGAGCAGCAUGGUCGUGAGUGGAGAUGCGAGCAGCGGCGGGGACUGAAGAAGUUAAUUAGGUUUAGUUAGGGUUAAUUAUGUUUAGAUUUUUUUUGGUGAACGGUUUAGAUUUAGAUUUCUAAACCGGAUUUGUCUGAAACCGGGUUUAAUUAUUAAACCAGCAUUUGUAAACAAGUUUUUAAAUAAUAUAUUUAAUAUUUUAAAACCAA